rnacentral:rRNA from 1 species
GACGAACCGUGCGAACGUUGUUCGGAAUCACUGGGCUUAAAGGGAGCGUAGGCGGGCUAACAAGUCUGGGGUGAAAUGCCGCGGCUCAACCGUGGAACUGCCUUAGAUACUGUCGGCCUCGAGGGAGAUAGGGGCAUGCGGAACAGUAGGUGGAGCGGUGAAAUGCGUAGAUAUCAGUAGGAACACCAAUGGCGAAGGCAGCUUGCUGGGCAUUUUCUGACGCUAAGGCACGAAAGCGUGGGGAGCGAACAGG